UGCGUAAGCUAGCCGAAUUGG
rnacentral:piRNA from 1 species